rnacentral:rRNA from 1 species
ACGAACGCUGGCGGCGUGCCUAACACAUGCAAGUCGAACGGAGAUAUUUGGAAGUAGCAAUACGGAAGGGUAUUUUAGUGGCGGACGGGUGAGUAAUACGCAGGAAACCUACCUUCAGACGGGGGGCAACCCAGGGAAACUUGGGCUAAUACCCUAUAAGACCACGGACUGAGAUGUCAGUGGUAAAAGGAGCAAUUCAUCUGGGGAUGGGCUUGCGGCCUAUCAGGUAGUUGGUGAGGUAAUGGCUCACCAAGCCUAAGACGGGUAGCCGGACUGAGAGGUCGAACGGCCACACUGGAACUGAGACACGGUCCAGACUCCUACGGGAGGCAGCAGUGGGGAAUCUUGCACAAUGGGCGAAAGCCUGAUGCAGCGACGCCGCGUGGAGGAAGAAGGCCUUCGGGUUGUAAACUCCUUUUAUUGGGGAAGAUAAUGACGGUACCCAAUGAAUAAGCCACGGCUAACUCUGU